rnacentral:rRNA from 1 species
UGGCGGCAUGCNUAACACAUGCAAGUCGAACGGAAACGAUGCUAGCUUUGCUAGCAGGCGUCGAGUGGCGGACGGGUGAGUAAUGCAUAGGAAUCUGCCUUUUAGUGGGGGAUAACUUGGGGAAACCCAAGCUAAUACCGCAUAAUCUUUUACGGAGGAAAGCGGGGGAUCUUCGGACCUCGUGCUGAAAGAUGAGCCUAUGUCAGAUUAGCUAGUUGGUGGGGUAAAGGCCUACCAAGGCGACGAUCUGUAGCUGGUUUGAGAGAAUGAUCAGCCACNCUGGAACUGAGACACGGUCCAGACUCCUACGGGAGGCAGCAGUGGGGAAUAUUGGACAAUGGGCGCAAGCCUGAUCCAGCAAUGCCGCGUGUGUGAAGAAGGCCUGCGGGUUGUAAAGCACUUUCAGUUGGGAGGAAAGGUAUUGUGUUAAUAGCACCGUACUGUGACGUUACCAACAGAAGAAGCACCGGCUAACUCUGUGCCAGCAGCCGCGGUAAUAC